rnacentral:rRNA from 1 species
UUGAGUUAGUGGCGACGGGUGAGUAACGCGUGGAUAACCUGCCGUAUACCGGGGGAUAACACUUAGAAAUAGGUGCUAAUACCGCAUAAGCGCACGGCUCCGCAUGGGGCAGUGUGAAAAACUCCGGUGGUAUACGAUGGAUCCGCGUCUGAUUAGCUAGUUGGCGGGGUAACGGCCCACCAAGGCAGCGAUCAGUAGGGGUUCUGAGAGGAAGGUCCCCCACAUUGGAACUGAGACACGGUCCAAACUCCUACGGGAGGCAGCAG